CUUCCUUCCCCAGGGAUGAGAUCAUGUUGUUUGGAGGCGGUUUUAACUGAAGAACGCUAGGGAUGUGCAAAGCCGUCCUCAGAAACCUCCUUCCUCAUCACAGGCUGUACCCUGUGGGAUGGGCGGAGACCGGAGGCCAGGUGCAGGUCCCAGGCUCAUCCCAGGGUCAAGUUCCCGGCCCCCAGCUCAGACCUGACACACUGGGAGGCUGGACUGCUGGGUUGCACAACCAGCUGGCCUUAGGAGUUCAGACCUGGGAGAGCUCUGAAAUGUCUCUGUUCUGAUAGGGAAACUGAGGCUCAGAGAAGGAAAGCGGUCUGCUCAGGCUCAGAUGGACAGGUAUGACAGAGGCUGGCGAACCCACUGCUCUCCCUGAAGCUGCUAUUGCCUGGAACCUGUCCACCCACCAUCCCCCCUGCUUCUAGUCUCAGGACCCUGAAUCUCUACUGGGAAUCAAACCUUCUCCACCCUCGGGACAGGUGGUUCAAGUAAAACAACCGGCUUCCUGCUCAUCCAAGGGCACCCACCUGGCUCAGUCCUAACCAAUCAGAACAGUUCAUUCCUCCCUCUUACCCAACUGGUUCAGGUUGGUAGGCAAUGACUCCGUGGGCGGGGCAGCGGGUAUUCACUUCCGGUUUAACUGGGGUCGUUAAUAUAGGCAGUUCUUCCUGUGCUCUCAGCUGGAGGGAACAACACCCAGGGGGCAGCCACCUCUGCCACUAUCAGCAACAGACAGUGGCUAAAGCAAGCCUAGUGAUGCUUACAGAGUUGGUUGGCAUGCAGGAUGGACCUAACAGUGCUCUGGUAUGCAGAACCAAAUGGCAGUUGUUCAUGGGUAAGCAGCGUGGUGCAUGCCUGAGUGGGAUAUCAUUGAGGGUGACACGGUACAGCUGACUCCCAGGAACAGAGACUUCUCUUGCUGCCUGAAGCCUCUCUUGGCUUUUCUUUUUUCUUUUCUUUUUUUCUUUUUUUAAGAUUUAUUUAUUUAUUUACUGUAGCUGUCUUCAGACACAUCAGAAAAGGGCAUCAGAUCUCAUUACAGAUGGUUGUGAGCCACCAUGUGGUUGCUGGGAUUUGAACUCAGGACCUUCAGAAGAGCAGUCAGUGCUCUUGCACGCUGAGCCAUCUCUCUAGCUCCUCUCUUGGCUUUUCAGUCAUCUAGGGGCGAGCCUUACCAGGGUUUGGUGGAUCCUGGUCGCCUAACAGUCACUAGCUUCCUGCUAGACGAAGAAGAGAAUUCAUACUCAUCUUUUUAAAAAAGACUUUUUUUCACAUAUAUGAGUGCACUGGAGCUGUCUUCAGACACACCAAAAGAGGACAUAGGAUCCCAUUAUACAUGGCUAUAAUUCCCAUGUGGUUGCUGGGAAUUGAACUCAGGUCCUACUGGAAGAGCAGUCAGUGCUCUUAACCACUCUCCGGCCCCCAUGCUCAGCAUCUUGAGAAGCCAAGAUGUCUGGCUGUAUUUGUCUGGUUUCCUUGUUUUAUUUUGUUUUGAGGCAGGGUCUCCGGUAGGCUAAACUGAGCUCAGACCCACUGACGAUGAUAUCUGUGAUGUUCCAAUUGUUAACUUCAGGAAGUCACCAGGAGAUGGGCCUCUGGGCAUGCCUGUGACAAGUAAUCUUGGUUAGGUUACUUGAGCUAGGAUGACCUACCUGCUAUGGAUGGCACUGAGUUGGGACACUGGACUGUAUGAAAAAAAAGAGAAACAUAAGCAGAAGUAUUCAUUCAUUCAUUCAUUCAUUCAUUGC
rnacentral:lncRNA from 1 species